CAGCCGCCGCGGUAAUACGGAGGAUGCGAGCGUUAUCCGGAAUUAUUGGGUUUAAAGGGUGCGCAGGCGGCGCAUUAAGUCAGAGGUGAAAUCCCAAUGCUCAACAUUGGAACUGCCUUUGAUACUGAUGUGCUUGAGUUUGGUUGAGGUAGGCGGAAUACAGCAUGUAGCGGUGAAAUGCAUAGAUAUGCUGUAGAACACCGAUAGCGAAGGCAGCUUACUAAACCAUAACUGACGCUCAUGCACGAAAGCGUGGGUAGCGAACAGGAUUAGAUACCCUGGUAGUCCACGCCGUAAACGAUGAUUACUCGCUGUUGGCGAUACACUGUCAGCGGCUAAGCGAAAGUGAUAAGUAAUCCACCUGGGGAGUACGCCGGCAACGGUGAAACUCAAAGGAAUUGACGGGGGCCCGCACAAGCGGUGGAGCAUGUGGUUUAAUUCGAUGAUACGCGAGGAACCUUACCUGGGCUUGAACGUAUAAUGACGUUUCAUGAAAGUGGAAUUCUCUUCGGAGCAUUAUGCGAGGUGCUGCAUGGUUGUCGUCAGCUCGUGCCGUGAGGUGUCGGGUUAAGUCCCAUAACGAGCGCAACCCCUACCCUUAGUUGCCAGCAUGUAAAGAUGGGGACUCUGAGGGGACUGCCUACGCAAGUAGAGAGGAAGGUGGGGAUGACGUCAAAUCAGCACGGCCCUUACGUCCAGGGCUACACACGUGCUACAAUGGUCGGUACAAAGAGCAGCCACUUGGUGACAAGGAGCGAAU
rnacentral:rRNA from 1 species